rnacentral:rRNA from 1 species
UACGGGGGGGGCAAGCGUUGUUCGGAAUUACUGGGCGUAAAGGGCUCGUAGGCGGCCAACUAAGUCAGACGUGAAAUCCCUCGGCUUAACCGGGGAACUGCGUCUGAUACUGGAUGGCUUGAGUUUGGGAGAGGGAUGCGGAAUUCCAGGUGUAGCGGUGAAAUACGUAGAUAUCGGGAAGAACACCUGGGAGGAGGAGGCGAUCUCGUGCGGUGCACUGACGCUGAGGCGCGAAAGCGUGGGGAGCAAACAGG